UACGGAGGGUGCGAGCGUUAUUCGGAAUUACUGGGCGUAAAGCGCGUGUAGGCGGCAGGGCAAGUCUGGUGUGAAAGCCCGGGGCUCAACCCCGGAAGUGCAUUGGAAACUGCUCUGCUUGAGUACCGGAGAGGAAGGGGGAAUUCCCGGUGUAGCGGUGAAAUGCGUAGAUAUCGGGAGGAAUACCAGUGGCGAAGGCGCCCUUCUGGACGGUUCCUGACGCUGAGGCACGAAAGCGUGGGGAGCAAACCGG
rnacentral:rRNA from 1 species